rnacentral:rRNA from 1 species
GACGAACGCUGGCGGCGUGCUUAACACAUGCAAGUCGAACGGAAAGGCCCUGCUUUUGUGGGGUGCUCGAGUGGCGAACGGGUGAGUAACACGUGAGUAACCUGCCCUUGACUUUGGGAUAACUUCAGGAAACUGGGGCUAUUACCGGAUAGGAGCUCCUGCUGCAUGGUGGGGGUUGGAAAGUUUCGGCGGUUGGGGAUGGACUCGCGGGUUAUCAGCCUGUUGGGGGGGUAGUGGCGUACCAAGGCUUUGAAGGGUAGCCGGCCUGGGAGGGUGACCGGCCACAAUGGUACUGAGAUACGGCCCAGACUCCAACGGGAGGCAACAGUGGGGAAUAUUGCACAAUGGGCGGAAGCCUGAUGCAGCAGCGCCGCGUGCGGGAUGACGGCCUUCUGGUUGUAAACCGCUUUCGCCUGUGACGAAGCGUGAGUGACGGUAAUGGGUAAAGAAGCACCGGCUAACUACGUG